GGGUAUAGUAGCAAUACUAGAGACCGGCGCACGGGUGCGUAACGCGUAUGCAACCUACCUUUUACAGGGGAAUAGCCCAGAGAAAUUUGGAUUAAUGCCCCAUGGUAUAUUUUAGUGGCAUCACUAGAUUAUUAAAGUUCCAACGGUAAAAGAUGGGCAUGCGUCCUAUUAGCUAGAUGGUAAGGUAACGGCUUACCAUGGCUACGAUAGGUAGGGGUCCUGAGAGGGAGAUCCCCCACACUGGUACUGAGACACGGACCAGACUCCUACGGGAGGCAGCAGUGAGGAAUAUUGGACAAUGGGCGCAAGCCUGAUCCAGCCAUGCCGCGUGCAGGAAGAAGCAUCUAUGGUGUGUAAACUGCUUUUGUACGGGAAGAAACACUCCUACGUGUAGGAGCUUGACGGUACCGUAAGAAUAAGGAUCGGCUAACUCCGUGCCAGCAGCCGCGGUAAUACGGAGGAUCCAAGCGUUAUCCGGAAUCAUUGGGUUUAAAGGGUCCGUAGGCGGUUUGGUAAGUCAGUGGUGAAAGCCCUUCGCUCAACGGAGGAACGGCCAUUGAUACUGCCAGACUUGAAUUACUGGGAAGUAACUAGAAUAUGUAGUGUAGCGGUGAAAUGCUUAGAUAUUACAUGGAAUACC
rnacentral:rRNA from 1 species